rnacentral:rRNA from 1 species
UGGGGAAUUUUGGACAAUGGGCGAAAGCCUGAUCCAGCAAUGCCGCGUGUGUGGGAGAAGGCCUUCGGGUUGUAAAGCACUUUUGUCCGGAAAGAAAUCCUUGGGCUCUAAUACAGUCGGGGGAUGACGGUACCGGAAGAAUAAGCACCGGCUAACUACGUGCCAGCAGCCGCGGUAAUACGUAGGGUGCAAGCGUUAAUCGGAAUUACUGGGCGUAAAGCGUGCGCAGGCGGUUUGCUAAGACCGAUGUGAAAUCCCCGGGCUCAACCUGGGAACUGCAUUGGGUGACUGGGCAGGCUAGAGUAUGGCAGAGGGGGGUAGAAUUCCACGUGUAGCAGUGAAAUGCGUAGAGAUGUGGAGGAAUACCGAUGGCGAAGGCAGCCCCCUGGGCCAAUACUGACGCUCAUGCACGAAAGCGUGGGGAGCAAACAGGAUUAGAUACCCUGGUAGUCCACGCCCUAAACGAUGUCAACUAGUUGUUGGGGAUUCAUUUCCUUAGUAACGUAGCUAACGCGUGAAGUUGACC